rnacentral:misc_RNA from 1 species
ACACCCUCAAGCUCUGCUUGGUGUUGGGCGUCUGUCCCCGCCUCCGUGCGCGGACUCGCCUCAAAGCGAUUGGCGGCUGGUACCACGGCCUGGAGUGCAGCAGAAUUGCGCUCCUUGUCUCGGGGUCUGGCUCCCAGAAGCGAACUUUUUUCACUU